AGUGAACGCUGGCGGUAGGCCUAACACAUGCAAGUCGAACGGCAGCACAGAGGAGCUUGCUCCUUGGGUGGCGAGUGGCGGACGGGUGAGGAAUACAUCGGAAUCUACUCUGUCGUGGGGGAUAACGUAGGGAAACUUACGCUAAUACCGCAUACGACCUACGGGUGAAAGCAGGGGAUCUUCGGACCUUGCGCGAUUGAAUGAGCCGAUGUCGGAUUAGCUAGUUGGCGGGGUAAAGGCCCACCAAGGCGACGAUCCGUAGCUGGUCUGAGAGGAUGAUCAGCCACACGGGAACUGAGACACGGUCCAGACUCCUACGGGAGGCAGCAGUGGGGAAUAUUGGACAAUGGGCGCAAGCCUGAUCCAGCCAUACCGCGUGGGUGAAGAAGGCCUUCGGGUUGUAAAGCUCUUUUGUUGGGAAAGAAAUCCAUCUGGUUAAUACCCGGGUGGGAUGACGGUACCCAAAGAAUAAGCACCGGCUAACUUCGUGCCAGCAGCCGCAGUAA
rnacentral:rRNA from 1 species